rnacentral:lncRNA from 1 species
GGUUCUAAAUAUUCUACACAGCAAACCUACAUUAAAGCCACAUUGGUUAGUAACCACAGAACUGGUUUUGGGUCCUGGCAUUAAAGCAUUAAUAUUAAAGUUAAUGACAGCAACAAUGAGAAAGCACAGAUGCAGAUGAAAACCACGCUUGGCUUGUGCUGCCACUAGCUGGGAAGGAUGUGUCAGUGGAAUGGAUGCAGCUAAUCUUUCUUCAAGUCCCUGGAUUCAAAGAGCUUCAAGCGCUCCUGCACCGUCAGGCCUUCCUUCAGACUCUGGUGGAGACAGAGAGGAAGGAGCAGUUAGUGCUGGUGCGGCAGUAGUAGCAGGCUUCAGUAGCAGGUGCAGGUGAGGGAUCCUGAGAUUAGUGGGCAUGCGAGGGCAGAAGGCCCUGAGAAAAUCCCUUGAGAAGUAGUGUUACUGGAAUUUGCUUUCUCCUGUAGAAAUUUACUUGGGUAAGAAAGGGGAAAAUAAUAAAGAGAAACAAGACCAUGUGUCAUAGCUC